rnacentral:lncRNA from 1 species
AUGAGACUGGCGACAGGGGCUUACGCAUGGAGACUGGAGAGGAAGUCUCUGUCCGGGGCAUCACCAACGUCCGGGGCGGGAGACUGGCGUCACAGACGUCGGGGGCGUGGAGAGGGGCGAGGAGAUUGGCAGUGGGGUUUGACCAGCGAGGUGAGGAGACAGGAGCGGAGAGCUGCCUUGGGGUGUUGGUGGCGUGGAGUCGAGGGAGGAGACUGGUAUCGGAGGCAUAGAGAUGAGCGAAAAGAUGCCAGACGAGGGUGUCGAGGGCAUGGUGGGCGUGCAGACCGGUGGGGAGACCCGCGUCCCGGACGUUGCAGCGGUCUGGGGUGGGGAGAUGGCCGAGGAGAGCUGCGUUCCAGGCGUGGAGACCGGAGAUGCGGGCAACUGGAGCGUGGGCAUCGAAAAGGAGACCGUGUCUCCGGUGUUGCAGGUGUGGAGACUGGCGUGCGGGGAGUGGAGAUUGGCUUGGAGACAUGCGUCCCAGGAGUCGUGGGCAUUGAAGAAGCUGCCUUCCCAGAGAAUAGCAGCGUUCCCAUUGGAUUCUCUGGAUCCGGUUAGGAGACUGGUUCCUAACUCCUGCUGUUACUCAGGUUCCAGGAGGGAGGCAUGGAAAAGGGAUGGAGCAAUUGGGAGGUAUCCAGGCCACCAGGGGUCAGGGAUGUCACAGCAUCCUACACUUGGGAAAGCGUGGGAAGUCUAGAAUGCCGGAGCUCUCUUUCCCAUAAGAGGCUCUUUGGCUAGGGAAAUUGCUUGGUCUGGGCUCAAAGAGGCUGACUCAGAGAUUAGUGGGAUGUGAUUGACCUUGGAACCCUUCAGGUUCAUCUAGUGCUGUUUCUGGAACUGUGAACAGGAAUAAAAACCUGAUAAUGAAACA